UCCUAUUUUUAUAUAAAGACGAAAAAAUUAAAAAACAAACCCUAAAGUAACAAAUCUCCUCCUCAUAAAGGAGCUAACGCUCCAGCUUCUCAACCCCAAAUCACCUUUCUUCUACGACUUGCUUCUCAGUGAAGAGGACCACACACCGUCGGUGGUGAACAUGCUCCUUCUUGUCUCAUUAUCUGGCGAAUCGAGCGCUGAUUUCCGUCCUCAUUUCUUCCUCUAUCUUGAUUUUGUGCUCUCUGUUUUCACAGGGCGAAAAAACCUAAUCUCUUUUUCUCUAAUGUGAUGGUUUACGAAUUAUCAUCAUAUUCAAAAGAAGCUAUUAUACCUGAUGGCGACUGGUGUGUUUGUGCAGCGCAAGGCUCAUGGUAAGCACGGUCUUUAGGGUUUUUUGGUUAUUUAGUGUUGUUUCCUUUCUCUAGAAGUGUAAAAUUAAGUCCCGAUUAUGUGGAUUUUAACUCUUUUUUAUGGUAUCUUUGUUCUCUUAAGCUUUAAAACUACUGGGUUUGAUUAAAUUUUUGCAAUUUAGGGUUUUUAUACUUGAAUACUGCUCAAUGCUUUGGAGUGCUAAGUUUUAGGUAAUUUUGGAAAGAUUCAAUUCCCAUUUUCCGUAGUUAUUGGUUAUGAUAGCCUAGAAAUUAGGUCUUUGAAUGAGAACUUGUAUUAAUUUGCUUCAUAUGUUCCCUUGAUGAUAUAUUAUUUUAGAUUAGAAAGAAAAAUAGAAUUGGGGAUUUAUUCCAUCUUGUGAUUUUUCAUAGAAAAGAGAAUAUGUGAUUCACAUAUAUUUGGAUAGUUGAUUUAUUAUGUAUUUGGGAUGCCCAUCUAAUCAGAUUGGUCGCUAGUUAAUUUGCCAAAUUGAAACUAAGUGCUCUUAUUGUUAUCAACUUCUAUUUAUUUCCUUGUUAAUCCAAUGCUCCGAACAGGUUAUUUUUACCAUCCUAAUAUUAUAAACAUAUUAUUUUUGGAGAUUUGUACUUGUCAAUGAUCUGCAUUAGAAAAUCUGAUACAAUUUUCUUCUCAUGUUUAAUCUUUUAGUAGCCUCCUUAUGGAAACUACCUGAUGAACUUUUUUCAAGUUUAUAUUCUUAUUAAUCACCUUUGUAUUAGGUGUAUCAUUGAAGGGUGCAUAUUUUAUCAUAAGAAGAGAUGUUCCAUAAAGAUGUAGAAGUUGGAAAAGUUGGUUAUUAAAAUUUGUGUUGGUAUGUGAUUAAGUUGAAAAGCAUUUUUGACUUGGCAAGAUAAAUCCUUUUCUGCUAUUUUAAACUACAUUUCUCACUAUUUGAUUUUUUUGUUUUCCCCCCAUGGAGCAAAUCUUAUAUUCGAAGUUUGUUCCGGAAGAGAUUGAUAUUUCAGCUUAUUAGCAACUUUAAGGUACAGUAACUUUUGGUAGGAUGCAUUGUGGUUAAUGAGUUAUGAUAAGAGCCAAGUGUCUUAAAUAUUAGUGUUAAGCUCAUGUUAGAAUAGUAGUAGUCAAGUGUUCUAGUUUCAUGAUAAUACUAUUACACGCCUGUUCAACUUAUACAUUUAUAGUUGGUCCUAAAGUUAUAAUCUUGUGCAUUAUACACUACUUUCUUAGUCAUAUGUCUAAAUGGUUGUAGGUUAGCAGUUCUAUCAUAUUUGUUCAGGGAGAUCGGUGAAUUAGUGGCUACAAAUUGGUAAAACCAAGGGAAAGUAAGCUAUGUUUGAAUUUUACCCCUUUGGCGUGGCUAAUUUGUGGUCUGAUUUGCUAAUUUUAUAGCUGCAUUUCUUCUGCUGUCGCGGAGAACCAACUGAUAAUUCUCAUGUUUCUUCGUGUAUAAGUUUAUUAUCCGGCGUUAUUAUCAUGUGUCAAGAUGUUAUUAUCUUUCAUGUAAAAUAUGUGGUUCUGUCUUUUGCUGAGAAGACUUAAACCACAUGGACAAAGAAACUGGUCUCGGAAAGAUGACGGAUAAACGAGUUAGUAAAUCUUUGAUAUUCCUAUUGACAAUCAUUGUUUUUUUGCUUGUUUAUUUAGUAAUUCCAUUAUGUCUAUAGGAUACAACAACAACCCAGUAAAAUCCCACUAAUGGGGUCUGAGAAGGGUAGUGUGCACGCAAAUCUUACCCCUACCCCGAAAGAGUAGAGAGGUGUUUCCGAAAGACCAUCGGUUCAAGAAAAUAAAAAGACAAAAGGACAAAAAGGAGACAAUGUUAGUAACACCACAACAAUCAUAGGAAAAAUAGGAACACCAUGAAAUCCAGAAGAAAGAUGCAAAGCAAAGGGAGACAAUAUUAAUAUCACCACAGCAAUCAUAAAAAAAAUAAGAACACCAUGAAAUUCAGAAGAAAGAUGCAAAGCAAAAGCGAUAGCUAGUAAAUAGGACCUGCAAUGAAAAGCGAAAUAGUAAGACACAACAUUGCCACUAGUUAUCUUAGACAAAAACCCUACAUGGCUAGUCCCACAAUGGUACGAAGUAAGGCACAACUCAAUUACCUCCUAACCUACAACCCUAAUACUCGACUUCCACAUCUUCCUAUCAAGUGUCAUGUCCUCGGAAAUCUGGAGUCUCGCCAUAUCUUGCCUGAUCACCUCUCCCCAAUACUUCUUUGGCCGCCCUCUACCUCUUCUCGUGCCCUCCACAACCAGUCGCUCACACUUCCGUACCAGAGCAUCUGGGCUUCUCCUCUGAACAUGUCCGAACCAUCUAAAGCCUCGCUUCCCGCAUCUUGUCAUCAAUGAGAGCCACAUGCACCUUCUCUCGAAUAUCGUCACUCCUAAUCUUAUCUAUCUUAGUGUGCCCGCACAUCCACCACAACAUCCUCAUUUCUGCUACUUUCAUCUUCUGGAUAUGUGACUUCUUAACGGGCCAACACUCAGCCCCAUACAUCAUGGCCGGUCUAACCACCGCUUUAUAUAACUUACCUUUGAGUAUCGGUGGCACUCUCUUAUCACACAGGACUCCAGAUGCUAACCUCCACUUCAUUCAUCCUACCCCAAUACGGUGUGUGACAUCCUCGUCGAUCUCCCCUCCCCCCUGGAUAACCGAACCAAGGUACUUAAAGCUGCUUCUACUCGGGAUGACCUGCGAAUCAAGCCUCACAUCCACGCCCACUUCCCCUGGCUCAACGCUGAACUUACACUCCAGGUAUUCCGUCUUCGUCUUGCUCAGCUUGAAGCCCUUAGACUCAAGAGCCUGUCUCCAAACCUCCAGCCNNNNNNNNNNNNNNNNNNNNNNNNNAAUCGACACACUUUUUGCCUCCAAGCAUCUCCAGAGAACUUCUUUAGGAACUCCUUCUUCCUCUCUGUGUACAAUUCUACAACCUUCUAACAAGGUGUAUAGCUUCUGUAGUCGAACGACCCGGCAUGAACCCGAACUGGUUGUCGGAUACGGAAACCGUCAUCCUCACCUUCGCUUCAACCACCCUCUCCCACACUUUCAUGGUAUGUCUAUAGGAUGAUGGAAAUUAAAAUUUAAAGAAUAGAUUUAAGUUGUAAAAAAAUGUUGAAGGCUACUGGAAACUAGUAAAAGGUUGAACUCAAGCUAUUCUCAUGCAUGCAAAUAUCUCAUUUUAAAUAGAAUAGCUAGAACAGUUUAUGUAUAAAUAUUGUAUGUUCAUUUGAGUUGUUUUGGUUUGUGAUAUAUGCGAAUAAGAGCUUGGGGAUGUUUAAGUUUCAUGGUUGACCUUACUGUCCACGGAGAAAGAGAUAGGAUUGAUAUUGCACUAUCAAAAUUUUAUCUCAUAGGAUUUAACAUUUUCUUGAAGUGCACAUCUUAUUUCAAUGAGAUUAAAACAUGAAGGCAGUGGAGAUGUUAAACUCUCCAUACAUAACAUUUAUUUCUAUCGCUUGUGAAUUAUUUCAAAUGUUAACAUUGUCAAACUAUACUUGCAUCACAACACAUUGUAAUACUCAAUUAGGAAGUUUGUUCUUUUUCAGUUGAUUAGUUUAAAGUUUGGGGAUUUACAAAUGAAUGAAAGUAAUUUUAGUCAUCAUUCCGAUCGCGACUUUUUAAAGAACAUAUUCACAUGGUUGCAUCAUUCCAUAUUAAUGGUAUCUGAAUGUGUUGUCUAAUAAAUCUCCUUGAAUCUUUGUAGGUAGUAACCAAUCUAUCCAAAGUGUGUGCAAAGUAUAAUGAUGCACCUUCUUAUAGGCAGUACCAAGGAGCGGAACAAUGGGAUCUGCCAAUAUUAUCCUAUCUUGGUUUUGGUCAGGCCUUUUCUCUCACAUUUGGCAGCAUUUAGGACAUCAAAGUUUGUUAGUUGAAUUACAAAAUCAUGUUCUUUAGGGGAGGAGGGAAUGGUUCUAGCCAAG
rnacentral:lncRNA from 1 species